CGGAGCGUAGCGCAGCCUGGUAGCGCACUUGCAUGGGGUGCAAGGGGUCGCGAGUUCGAAUCCCGCCGCUCCGACCA
rnacentral:tRNA from 6 species